AAAGCCGGUGUAGCCUUCUUCCGAGUUCUCAUACACAGCCGAGGGGUUGAACUUGCUCUCAAAAUAAGCCAGGCACACCCCUAGGAGGUGGGACAGCAAGUGGCGUGCGUGUCCAAGCUGCCAUCUCCAAUCACAACUGAGCAAUGGCCCCAAAGCGUGCACAGAGUGUCACCUUGAGACACUACCGGCGCUCCAUUCCCUGUUUUACACGUCCUCUGGAACCUGGCUUUACCCUGCCAAGCUUCCAUCGAGAGGAAGCAACUCAGCCAUGGAGAACUCUCAGCUCACCCUGCCUGGACCUGUCGGCACGUGCCACGCCCCUUACGCCACGUGCCUGCUGGAGUCUCACCUUGGUGCUCUGGGACACGGGUCUUCCCCACCCACAGAGCCCCACCCACACCAUCCGCACCCAUGUACUCGCUCUCUCUUCAUCUGCUGGCCCCCACCCCUGGAGACCCCCUGGUGGCUGAUGGGGCCUCAUGAGUCCCCUUCCCCUGCCCAGCCCUUGCUGCUCACAGUCCCUGCCUUGACCCCAAGAGUGAGAACCCUGUUUUUGGUCUUUAUCCCACGCCUCACAAAGAGAAGCUACGACUGGAAAGCCAGGCCCAGCCGCUCCCCAAUGUCCCUACACUUUGUCCCUACAGACCAGUGAGCAGGCACCCUCACACUGCUAUGUUGCCAUUCACAUGGGUAUGAGCAUCCUUGAGGUGAUAAUUCUCCUACACCAGGGGCUCUAAGCCGUGGCUUGGGCUAGAAAGUUCUUUGGGGAUUAGAGUCCUGGCGCACCUGGUGGUAGUUUAGGCGUGCACUGUUUCCCUUGAGCUCCCAUGUUUGAACCCCUGGCCUCCAGGUGGUGAUGCUGUCCCCUUGGGGUCUGGUGAUUGGACGCUUGUCGCCCAGGUGGUGAUGCUGUUUCUGGAGGGUUCAAGAGCCCUUGAACGGUGACACCUGUCCCACUUUCUAGCUGUUCUCUGCUUCCUGACUGCAGAAACAAUGUGACAAGUCACCCUGUGGUUUUAUAAAUGGGCGUAGUCACCCCUCUGCUUCCUGACUGAAGAUACAAUGUGACAAGUCACCCUGUGGUUUUACAAAUGGGUGUAGUCACCUCAUGCUCUUGUCACCAAGACUGGCAGUGCCCUUAAACUAGAGCCACAGCUAAAUCUUUCCAUCUUUAUGUUGCCAGGCAAUUUAGUCCCCUCUGUGACAAGCAAAAUGUCCUCUGGAGAAUAAAAGUGCUCUCUAUCGUUAA